GAAAUUAAACUUGUUUUUGCCAAAGUUGGAUCCUCUUCCACCCACAUACACUGUUGUACAUUACAGUAAUAGAUAAUUAGAGUAAUAAGAGAUAAACACACCCUCUCUCAUCAUACAAACUCAACUGCAACUUGUCAUCAUUGACAAGUUCUCUACAAGAGCUAUUCUUUUAUGAACUAAACUAGACAGUAGACACAUUCAAAGUCACUCAGUAUUGCCUCUAUCAAUCAUAUCAUCAUGGUCCGGAAAACACCUACUACUUUUACCUAUGCAUCACUUUGCUGCUGAGUUUGUUGCUGCUGCUGAGGUUGAGUAUGCGGCCAUGGCAUGAAAGGCAUCGAUGGUCGGGGGUGUUGAGCGGUGGCACCGUACAUGUUUGCUUGAUCUAAUUGCUUCCCCAUGAUCAUCCCUGUAGCACCCACUGGAUGCUGGGAUGGAACAUAGUAAUAAGGAAGAUCAGCUGGGGAACCAACUACGGGAAUGGAACCUUUCGUGAUUCCAAGACCUUCCUCUUUCAGUUCAUCUCUAGGAAUAAUAUCAACCAAGAAAUCGAAGACAUCAGUCCUUGAAAUUGCAGCUGCAAUAUCAUUCUUCUGUAAAGUUCUCCUUUUGUUCUCUUCUGUAUGAAUCCAGGAUCG
rnacentral:misc_RNA from 1 species